GAUGAACGCUGGCGGCGUGCCUAAUACAUGCAAGUCGAGCGAAAGCACGAGAAGCUCGUUCUCUUGCUGUUAGCGGCGGACGGGCGAGUAAGACGUAGAUCACCUUCCUAUUAUACUUGGAUAAUUUCGGGAGAACACUGAUACUAAUGGCUCAUAUUUCCUACGGGAUAGUUCAAAAGUGCAUCACGCUUUUGGCGUUUCUUAUAGAUGAUUUCGGGUUGGAUUAGUUGGUUGGUAAGGUAACGGCAUACCAAGGCAACGUAGCUUAGCUGACCUGAGAGGUUGAUCGGCCACCCUGGACUUGAGCACGGUCCAAACUCCUACGGGGGGCAACAGGUGGGAAUCUUCCGCAAUGGGCGAAAGCCUGACGGAACAACGCCGGGGGAGGGAUAGAAGUCUUCCGAGCUGAAAACUCUGUUAGUAGGGAAAAAAAUGUGGGUAAGUAACUGUGCACAGCUUGACGGUAACUAAACAGAAAGCCACGGCUAACUACGGU
rnacentral:rRNA from 1 species